AUUGAACGCUGGCGGCAGGCCUAACACAUGCAAGUCGAACGGUAACAGGAAACAUCUUGCUGUUUCGCUGACGAGUGGCGGACGGGUGAGUAAUGUCUGGGAAACUGCCUGAUGGAGGGGGAUAACUACUGGAAACGGUAGCUAAUACCGCAUAACGUCGCAAGACCAAAGAGGGGGACCCUCGGGCCUCUUGCCAUCGGAUGUGCCCAGAUGGGAUUAGCUUGUUGGUGGGGUAACGGCUCACCAAGGCGACGAUCCCUAGCUGGUCUGAGAGGAUGACCAGCCACACUGGAACUGAGACACGGUCCAGACUCCUACGGGAGGCAGCAGUGAGGAAUAUUGGACAAUGGGCGCAAGCCUGAUGCAGCCAUGCCGCGUGUAUGAAGAAGGCCUUCGGGUUGUAAAGUACUUUUGGCGGGGAGGAAGGGAGUAAAGUUAAUACCUUUGCUCAUUGACGUUACCCGCAGAAGAAGCACCGGCUAACUCCGUG
rnacentral:rRNA from 1 species